AACGUAGGAGGCGAGCGUUAUCCGGAUUCACUGGGCGUAAAGCGCGCGCAGGCGGUUGGUUAAGUCGGAUGUGAAAGCCCCUGGCUCAACUGGGGGAGGCCGUUCGAUACUGGCCGGCUUGAGGGUGAGAGAGGGGAGUGGAAUUCCCGGUGUAGCGGUGGAAUGCGUAGAGAUCGGGAGGAACACCAGUGGCGAAAGCGGCUCCCUGGCUCGCCCCUGACGCUGAGAGCGCGAAAGCGUGGGUAGCAAACAGG
rnacentral:rRNA from 1 species